GAUCCCGUAGCUCAGUUGGAUAGAGUAUCGGUUUCCGAAGCCGGUGGUCAUGAGUUCGACUCUCAUCGGGAUCACCA
rnacentral:tRNA from 1 species